rnacentral:lncRNA from 1 species
GAUCUGGGAACGGGCGGCCAAGGGAGCGGCGUCGGCGUCCUCCAGCGGCAGGCAGCGGGAGAACGUGACGGGUGGAAAGGAGUCGCCGCCGCAGCCGCCGGAGGUCGGAGCCGAGGAGAGGUGGGCGGACAACAACGAGCGACGCCUCGAGGAUCCUGUCUGGAAAGGAGGGCGGCGACGAGCAGCUGUAGCCCCUCACCCAGUUGUCGGCUCAUCACAGCCCCACACGGUGGCCGGGGAGAAAGAGGAUUGUGGAGGCUGAUGUCCAAGAGAGAGGGCUGCCUGCCUUCUGGAUCCGAAGGCCCAUCUUCUCCCCAGCCGAUGACGCCAUGCCGGCCUCCUCAUUUGAUUGAGGCAUCCUCAUCAUCAGCCAAAGUAGCUUGCACAAGGCAGCGAAGUUCAGAUGUGCUUCGAUCGGGUCAUGGUGUGCUCCACUUCGCAGUAACAUAUGUGUUCCUGAGUUUGUAUAUUUUCAGUAGGUGCAGUGUGGGAUACUGUAGUUGAGGCACGGGUUGAUGGCAUGUUGAUGAGCCAAUCCUGCUGCUCCAAUUGACAGCUUCAAGGGGCACUUUCUAUUUUAUUGGCUUCUAAUCUGUGUCAUUUAGAGUCAUACUGAAUGUAAAUCGAGACUUCUCGUUGAAACCACCUAUUGGAGACACUGGUAAGGACACACGAGUAGGACCAUAAAGAUUAUUAUGCGGCAUGGCACAGGACUAGCAGCAGCGUCGGCAAGGAGGUGACUGAGUCUGGUGCCAGCCAUAUCCAUCAUUGUUGGUGGUGUUGUAAUUUUUUAUUUGUUUUUGUGCAUUCUACAAAUGUAUCACAUUGCGUGUGUGAUCAGACAGCCGUUGUAAUUCUAAAUCCGUUCAAACAUUUGUCGGAUGUGCAUAAAUGUUUUGCUCCUGCAGUCUAAGAGUAAUUUAUUUACUC